UACGUAGGGACCAAGCGUUGUUCGGAUUUACUGGGCGUAAAGGGCGCGUAGGCGGCAUGACAAGUCACUUGUGAAAUCUCCGGGCUUAACUCGGAACGGCCAAGUGAUACUGUCAAGCUAGAGUGCAGAAAGGGCAAUCGGAAUUCUUGGUGUAGCGGUGAAAUGCGUAGAUAUCAAGAGGAACACCUGAGGCGAAGACGGGUUGCUAGGCCGACACUGACGCUGAAGCGCGAAAGCCAGGGGAGCAAACGGG
rnacentral:rRNA from 1 species